GAUCCUGGCUUAGGAUGAACGCUGGCGGCGUGCCUAACACAUGCAAGUCGAACGAAGCAUGGGAACGGAGAUCGUUGAAGGGAACCAUGACUUAGUGGCGGACGGGUGAGUAAUGUAUGAGCAACCUGCCUUUCAGAGGGGGACAACAGUUGGAAACGACUGCUAAUACCGCGUAAUGUAAUGGAGGGGCAUCCCUUUAUUACCAAAGGAGCAAUCCGCUGAAAGAUGGGCUCAUAUCUGAUUAGCUAGUUGGCGGGGUAACGGCCCACCAAGGCGACGAUCAGUAGCCGGACUGAGAGGUUGAACGGCCACAUUGGGACUGAGAUACGGCCCAGACUCCUACGGGAGGCAGCAGUGGGGAAUAUUGGGCAAUGGGCGAAAGCCUGACCCAGCAACGCCGCGUGAAGGAAGAAGGUCUUCGGAUUGUAAACUUCUUUUAUGAGGGACGAAGGAAGUGACGGUACCUCAUGAAUAAGCCACGGCUAACUACGUGCCAGCCGCUGC
rnacentral:rRNA from 1 species